rnacentral:rRNA from 1 species
CCAAAAAAGCUCCUUUUCGUUUCCCUAGGUGCCCGUACCGUAAACCGACACAGGUGGGUGGGUCGAGUAGACCAAGGCGCGCGAGAGAAACCUCUCUAAGGAACUCGGCAAAAUAGCCCCGUAACUUCGGGAGAAGGGGUACCCACUUCGGUGGGUCACAGUAAAUUGGGUUUAGCGACUGUUUAACAAAAACACAGCACUCUGCCAAGUUGUGAAAACAACGUAUAGGGUGUGACACGUGACCAAUGCGGAAAGAUCAAGGUGACUUGUUAGCCGCAAGGCGAAGCUCGGAGCCAAAGUCCCCGUGAAUGUCGGCCGUAACUAUAACGGUCCUAAGGUAGCGAAAUUCCUUGUCGGGUAAGUUCCGACCUGCACGAAUCGUGUAGCGACUGAACCGCUGUCUCGGAGAGGAUCUCGGCGAAAUUGUAACGGCGGUGAAGAUGCCGCCUGCCCGCAGUAGGACGGAAAGACCCUAUGCACCUUUACUGUAAGCUGGUAUUGUGUUCUGAUUAAUGAUGCGUAGCGUAGGUGGGAGACUUUGAAGCCAUGGUUUCGGUUGUGGCUGAGUCGCAAUGUGAAACACCACUCUUUGUUAAUUAGGAUUCUAACCCUAUGCUGUUAGCCAGCUAGGGGACAGUGCCUGCGGGUCAGUUUGACUGGGGCGGUUUCCUCCCAAAGGGUAACGGAGGAGCGCUAAGGUACUCUCAGCAUGGUUUGCAACCAUGCGUCGAGCGUAUGGGUAGAAGAGUGCUUAACUGCGAGACCAACAAGUCGAGCAGAUACGAAAGUAGGCCCAAAUGAUCCGAUGGUUGAAUAUGGAAUUGCCAUCGCUCAACGGACAAAAGGUACGCUAGGGAUAACAGGCUGAUCGGAUCCAAGAGUUCAUAUCGACGAUCCGGUUUGGCACCUCGAUGUCGGCUCAUCGCAUCCUGGGGCUGGAGAAGGUCCCAAGGGUCCGGCUGUUCGCCGGUUAAAGCGGUACGCGAGCUGGGUUCAGAACGUCGUGAGACAGUUCGGUCCUUAUCCACUGUGGGCGCAGGAAACUUGAGGGGUUCAUUCUCUAGUACGAGAGGACCGAGAAUGACGCACUUCUGGUGUGGCAGUUGUUCCGUCAGGGGCAGCGCUGCGUAGCCAUGUGCGGAAGAGAUAAGCGCUGAAAGCAUCUAAGUGCCAAGCUCAUCCCAAGAUAUUGUUUCCCGGACGCAAGUCCCUAAAGACUCCAUGUAGACCACGUGGUUGAUAGGUCAGGCGUGUAAGUGCCGCAAGGUACUCAGCGGACUGAUACUAAUUAGUCGUGCGGCUUGAUCGC